GCUUCUCACUAUUUUUAAGAUGGGCAAGACUUGAGUCCAGCUGAAGUCUGAGAGGAAGAUGUAAAUAGAGAGGGAGAGGCUGGAGGCAGAAGAGAGCAUGACGGGGCUUUAUACUGUUGGUUAAAUUUCUGCCGGCGGACACAGCAGCAGGUGGCCAGCGUGGUGAGGAGGAUGGCAGAGACCAGUAUGAAGGCCUCCAGGAACCCCAGCCUUUCCCAGAAAAGAGUCUGACUUCCACAAUCACCGGGCUCAGGCUCCCUGCCCCCAGCUUCUGUCUCCACUGACCCAUUCUGGCCCAUUCACUGCUAAAUGCCUGACAACGGCUCAAAAGCUCCACUCUGACUAUGAGGCAGCUUGGCUUAAACUUCUCCAUGGUGAAGUCCAGGACCCUCAGCAGGGCCUUCGAGGCUGUUUGUAGCCCCUGCCAACCUGUCCCCCACCUCCCACCCCAGCCCACACGCAGUGACCACAGCUGACCACUGCCCAUCAUGCCCUCCCACACCCACUGCUGAGCCUCCUCCCUGAGCUGGAUAUGCCAUCCCCAACCAGAUCCACAUGUGAACUCUUCAUGUUGAGCUUCAGGGCCUCCUCUACCAGGGAGCCCUCCCUGACUGUGCUUCCUCUCAGAGCUUUGCCCCGCUGAAUUGUGGCUGUUUGUGUGGGGACCUGCUAGACAGCGAGCUCAGAGCAAAUGGGGACUGGUUUGGUGGAUGUGGAUGCCUUGGACCUGACUAGCAAGUCAAUUUUUCCUAAUGAAUGAGUCCCAGGCAUCAUCGGUUUAGUAAAGGUCUGAGGCACUGAAUCAAUCACUUCUCUGGGAGGAAAGAAAAUGGAUGAUUGAUAUUUUCAGAAUAUAGUCAAAGACGGCUAGAGUAAGAAGAGUUCAGCUCACCCACUUCCCAGAUGGGGACACUGAGGCCUGAAGAUGGCAGUGACUUGCAUGAAUUCACAGUGAGCCAGUGGCUGAGCUGGUAGGGAAGGAACACAAGCUGGUGUGUUCCUCUCCUGGUCCAGCUCUGCGCUUCCUCCUGAGAGCCCCAAGGUGAGUAGGCGGAGGAAGAGACCUGCCCAGCCUCCGGCCUCUGUGUGGCUCUUCCUACUCCAUGCAGCACAAUGACUCCAUGUAGCCUCCAAGGGAGGCAGCUUCACAGGGGCCUCAGGAGGCCCAGGGAUGCCCCAGCAGUUGGGCACUUGUGAGAACCUGAAACCUGCCUGGCUGCCUUGCCCAUCCUUGCCCUUCCUCCCUCACAACCUCUCUGCCUGCAGGGGCCACUAAACAUAGCCUCCUCCUCACAGCCCUUACCCCCUGGGGCAUUCCUUAUUUAAAGCAGAAACAACGAAAUGACCUGUGGUGGAGCCCUAGCUGUGUCAGGCUUCCUGCUGAGUGCAGAGGCCCCUACCCCAUUAAAUCUUCCCAGGCAUUGUUCA